rnacentral:rRNA from 1 species
UACGUAGGUGGCAAGCGUUGUCCGGAUUUACUGGGCGUAAAGAGCGCGCAGGCGGUCGAUCAAGUCGCGUGUGAAAGCCCCCGGCUCAACUGGGAGGGUCGACGCGAUACUGAUCGACUCGAAGGCAGGAGAGGGUAGUGGAAUUCCCGGUGUAGUGGUGAAAUGCGUAGAGAUCCGGAGGAACCCCUGAGGCGAAGGCGGCGUCCUGGCGCACUUCUGACGUUCAGACACGACAGCAUGGGGAGCGAACGGGAGUUAGAAACCC